GCAUCACAGUGGGCAUCAACCAGGACAUUUUACAGCAAGCCUUAGAAAACAGUGGGCUGUCUUCAAUUCCAGCUGCAGCACAUCCUAAUGACUCCUGCCAUGCCAAGACCUCUGCACCACACGCUCAAAACCCAGAUGUUUCCAGCGUUUCCAAUGAGCAGACGGACCCCACAGACGCAGAGCAAGAAAAAGAACAGGAAAGCCCGGAGAAACUGGAUAAAAAAGAAAAAAAAAUGAUAAAGAAGAAGUCACCGUUUCUACCUGGCUCCAUCCGCGAGGAGAACGGCGUGCGCUGGCAUGUGUGUCCCUACUGCGCCAAGGAGUUCCGCAAGCCCAGCGACCUGGUCCGCCACAUCCGCAUCCACACCCACGAGAAGCCCUUCAAGUGCCCGCAGUGCUUCCGCGCCUUCGCCGUGAAGAGCACGCUGACAGCGCACAUCAAGACGCACACCGGCAUCAAGGCAUUCAAGUGCCAGUACUGCAUGAAGAGCUUCUCCACCUCUGGCAGCCUCAAGGUGCACAUUCGCCUGCACACAGGUAUGGCCUCAGGGCUGGGCCCACACGGGCACUGGCCGCACACAUUACUGCGCACAUAUACCAAACACAGGUAUGGCACACAG
rnacentral:sRNA from 1 species